UCCCACCCCACGCAUGCAAAACAAAGUCUUCUGGCCUCACUCCAUUGGCUGUGCGGACAUGCUGCGCUCCUGCACGGACCCCCUCCUCGGCCGCCGCUCCCAGAUUCACCAAGCCAGGACGCUCGACGGACCGGGUGCCCGCCCGGCCCCUGGCCGCCCUUCGCCGCGAUCCCUUCCUGCCCUGUAGCUGUAGUAGGCCUUGCAGCUCGGCGCAGCCGAAAGCAGGUGGUGCGCGCCGCCCGCCCGCUUCUCUGGUGCCGGUGUGGUGUUUCUAAUAAGGCCCCGGCCGGCGCGCUGCGAUGGGGCGAAUGCAGUGAGAUGAGAUGGUAGUGAUUCGCUACUCCCAGAGGUGCAGGUGUAAAUGCAGUCCAAAAAAUCGGCAUGAGCCCCCUCUCUGAGCUGGUGUGGUCUCCGGAUGAGGGAUUGAGCAUCAAAAUUGCGGCGUCCAGUCUAAGCACAAGGAAGGCUUCUCUUCGUUGGAAUGCAGAUACGUUGAGCAUAUUAAUAUCUUCACCUCAACACAGUGGUUCUGGUCCGGGUGUAAAGAGUGGUGAUACCAUAUAUGAUAACCUAGAGGUGUCAGAAAAGAUGCCAUCACAACUACGAAUUCGUAGUGAUAGCUCAGUGAGAGUAACGAUGGAUAGCCCCAACAGAGUUACAAAUGUUGAUGCCCUACAAUCUACGUCUAUAAGAUCGCAGGAGCAAGAUUCAACUAAACUUGUAGAGUGCUGUGAAGGGAUCAAUGUCAUGAACGAAGGGGAAGAAGAGUUGGAAAACUGUUGCCUGGAUAAGCUGGAGGACAUGGAAGCGAGGAAUUGUCCCACAAGAUAUUGCAAGGAUGCUUCCCAUAGUUCAGCCUCCAGAAAAGAAGUCAUGCCUAGUAUUUCAGAAAACCAGGUUUGCUGUGCAACCACUGUCCGCAAUGAAAGAUCUUGGGCAACUAAUGCAUGGCGUGCUCGGUUAGUAAAAGCAGUUUGUCAGAAAGAACCUAUGUUGUCAAUGAACACAGAGAAUCCAAUGUUACCUUCUUCCUUAGGAAUUUCAUGUGAUGCAGUAGAGGUCUCAGGCAAAUUGGUAGGUUCCCAAGGCAAUAGAAAUGUUCAAAGCCUGGGCAGUGACAACAAUGUAAUUAGUAAUGCACCAGAAAUUCCUUCUCAUAACAAUUGCCAAGAUCCGGUUCUGCAGGAAAGCCAUAAGGAUGAGCCUGUUGUUGCGAGAGGUGAGUCAGCAUCUGGUGUUAAUGCUGUUGCAAGAUGCGAGUCAGUGCCUGGAGUUAAUUCCAGAAAACUUGUGAAAGACAAAGAAAAAGUUCUGUACAAUGACAGCAAUUAUGGUAACAAUACAAUGGAGGGUGAUGACAGCAAUGAGAGCAUCGAGAGCUGUACAAGUACAAAAGCCCCAAAGCGGAAGCAUGCACAGUUUUGUGCAGCUACAAUGCCUUCUUCUGGAAACAAAAGAUUUAGAAGAGAAGACAAUGAAAGUUCUUGCUCAGGAUUAUUGCAAAAAUGUGGUACAUCUUUCUUCAACUGGAUGUCAUCACUUACGAAUGGGUUACCCAUGCUUGAUGGAGCCACUGCUGCCAUUCCACUUGAUCAGAAGUUUUCAGCAAGUACAGGAGAGGGAUCUGCAGCACCUUCCCAGCCACUUCAAAACAACAGCAGCGUUCCUAUGCAAUCUGUUGGCUUCAAUUCGCUCUUCCAGUCCCUGUAUACUCAUAAUGUUAUGAUAACUUCAAGAGAUAAUUGUCAUCAACCAGAGAGCAACUAUGCUGGGCAUGUGUUCAAUAGACUGACUCUGGAAUUAAAUGACAGCAAUUCUAUGUUGGACAAACAAAUUGGCAUGGGUAGAGAAACUCUUGACAGUGGCUGUAAAAAAAAUCAGUGCACAGCUGCCUGCUCAAAUGAUGCAACACAAAAUAAAGGUGGUUUGAGGGAAAGCUUGUGGGUAACUCGGCUUUUGCCAAAAGCAUCCGUGGAAUUGAUGGAGGCAACACCAUGCAAUGUAGAAAAUGCUGUUAAUCCACAGGCUGUGGGUGACAAGUUGUGUUGUCCACCUCUUCAGAAUUUUAACUUGGAGAGAGGAAGCAGCGAUGGUGUAACAAGUAGUAAAUGUCCAGCAACGCCUCCAGAGGAACCUAAGCAAUCUGAAACAAUGGCUUCUGUUUUUGCAAAGAGAUUGGAUGCACUUAGACAUGCAAACACAUCUGCAGUAAGGCUGGCUAUCGCAUGUGACCGUGGAAGUCCCAAACUGAGAAACCACAAAACUAACUCUUUUGUUGUUAGUUACAGCAGCCAUGAUAAAGUAGAGGCAGGACACGAAAAUCAUAAAUCAUCUAGCAGAAACGGAAGAAUAGUUUUGUGGUUAGGUGACAAAGGCAAGGAACAGUUGUGUCUAAGCAACAAAGAAUCAAGAGGAAACUUUAUAUCUGAGCAUGAGCAUCAGCAUCAUGGAGGGAACACAGCUGGAAAAUCUGCAACUCGGCCUAAUUUAGAACUGAACACAUUGGCUGAAGAUACUGACAGAAGCCAAGUAAAAUUAAAGGGAGGAGUCUCAGAUUUUAUGGCGGGUCCGUCAGAUAACAAGCAAAUCGUACCUUAUGGCACUAUGCCUAAUGAUGUCUGUGAUGAAUCAAGUGUUGUUUUUGGUGCCUUACAUAGGCUUCGUCUGUCUCGCUCAGAUAUCAUAAGAUGGCUGAGAUCACCGAUCAUGCACACUACGUUAGAUGGCUUUUUUGUCCGAUUGCGAUUUGGUAAAUGGGAGGAAGCAUUGGGUGGCACAGGAUACCAUGUUGCCCGCCUGAAUGGAGCACUGGAUAGGAGUCGCCUUUCUGUAACCAUCAGAAAUUCAACCUGUCAAGUAGAUUCUCGCUUUGUAUCCAACCAUGACUUCCAUGAGGAUGAGCUGAAGGCAUGGUGGUCUGCUGCAAUGAAGAGUGAGUGGAAGCUACCGUCAAAGGAAGAACUGAGUGUGAAGCUAAGAGAAAGAGAGCUACUUCGUUCGUAGAAUGGAACAGUUGGAAGGCUUCUAUCCGUCCUACACUCCUACUAAUUAACUUAAUGGAAAGUUAUGAGCCAGUUGAUGAGGCAUGUAUUAUUUCACCACGAUAAGUUGUAUAGUGUUGAUUUUUGCGGUUAGUCUGCAAAGGCGACGCUGCUAUGGCUACCACCCUUGGAGAUCUACGCAUCAUUUAUAUUAAGAAGAAAGAGUUUACAGUGCACCAACGCGCAACAAGCGCGCUAGGUGGUCAACAGCUGGACCGACCUAGCAAAGAGUUGUGUGGACCGAUAUUACAUAAAUGGGUCAACCAAAACGUGCUCGACAUCGAGACCUACGAGUCUUCCUGGAAGAGCUCGCACGCACGCCCGUUGAACGCUGGGAACAACGCAUCUAGGGCCUCCACCUCGCUCGUGGACUUUUCGACAAAGUCCCGGAGUGCAGGGCAUCGAGUAUCCCCCUCGGCGCAGGCGAAACCGGUGCGGUCGGCGGAGCGAUCCCCAGUCGCUUGUUCAGGAGAACCUCGCCCCGCCUAGCACUUGACUUCUUUUUUUUUUGAUGGGAUGAGCUCCUGUGUGAUAUCCUAUUAUCUGUAAAUAGGAAGGCACUGACAGAUUUGUACAAUUGUACAACUUUUUUGGGGGGGGAAGAAACUUGAAAUAAGAUUACUUAUCAUUAACCACUGCUUUCCUUUAUCUGGGUCGUUCGCGGGGAUAUAUAGUGUGUUUAUUUGCCUGUAAAUAUAAGCAAAUGCAGGCAGUAUAGAUGGAUGCAAAAAUACACCAUCA